UUUCCGUAGGUGAACCAGCGGAAGGAUCAUUCAUAAUAAAGUGUUUUAUGGCACUUUUUAAAAAUCCAUAUCCACCUUGUGUGCAAUGUUAGAUCUCGUCAAUCUUGGCGAGGUUUUUAUACAUCAACUCAUUCUUUAACUAAUUUGUCUGAAAAAUAUUAUGAAUACUUAAUUCAAAAUACAACUUUCAACAACGGAUCUCUUGGCUCUC
rnacentral:misc_RNA from 1 species